rnacentral:pre_miRNA from 1 species
GGGGGGAGCGCCGGAUCCUGGGUUGUGUCCCCGGCGCCCUGGGCUCCGGGGCCUGCGCCGCUGGAAUCUGGAAUGGCGCUCCUGGGGCCGCGCAGCCCCCU